CAGCAAGUGGGGUGGGAGGGAAGAGAGGAUGAAGGCCCUGAGGAAAACGUCGUUUCAAAGAGGCAAACUUAUGAAUCGCAUCAGCAACAGAAUAUUUUGUCUGUCCAGAUACACAAGCCUCAAUAUCUUCUGGACUUAGCUGAGUCUGUAAGAAGAGUGCCAUCUGGAGGUUAAAUGCGUGAAGAAACACAAAGAGGAAGAAUUAGAGAAAGAUGUUCAUUGAACCAAUCACACACAGUCCAUCUAUAAGGGAAAACAUUUAGAAUUCUUUACUAACCACUGUAAGUCAACAUGAGCAGUCAUAGAAGUACUCUUCACCUAGGUAUGCCCUUGGAAUGCCUGCUUUACUCUUUAAUUGAGAAAUGACAACUUUUGCUUUCUUCCUUCUGCACCAGCCGCUUACAUUGCUUGAAGGAUGUAAUUAAAAA